rnacentral:lncRNA from 1 species
GUUUCUUCCAAAGGCAAGGCUCUGAAUGAACGGGCGAUAUUGAUCCUUCUUAGAAAUUCCUAAGGCUCAAUGUUGUGUGGAAGAUUCUGAGAAAGAAAAUAGUUUCCGAUCUUUGGGAUUCCCCUGAGAUGGUCCAAUCUGCAAAAAGUUCAUUGCCAUUUCCAUCAAGGACACUGAGAACAAGAGUCUUAUCCGCAUUGAAUCCUGGGAAUUGAGAAGCUUCAGCAGGGCUUCCGCUGGAACUAGGAUGAGGAUGUGGACACCCCCAACCUGGACCAUCUGGCCGAGGAGGGCGUCAAGGCCAAGUACCUCAUGCCACCCCUUGUCACAAUGACCUCCCCGUCCCACUUCACUGCCAUCACAGAUGCAUGUGAAAUUAGGUGCUGUGACUCAGAUCGGGGGACCUCCCUUGGGAGAUCAAUCCCCUGUCCUCCUGCUCUUUGCUCUGUGAGAAAGAUCCACCUACGACCUCAGGUCCUCAGACUGACCAGCCCAAGCAACAUCUCACCAAUUUCAAAUCUGGACCCCACUAGAAAUUGGACUGUUCAACUCACCUGGCAGCCACUCCCAGAGCCCCUGGAACUCCAGCCCAAGGCUCUCUGACUGACUCCUUCCCAGAUCUUCUUGGCUUAGCAGCUGAAGACUGACAAUGCCCGAUCGAUUGCCUCAGAAGCCUACAGGACCAUCACAGAUGCUCUACGUAACUCUCACAGUGGAGGAUGAUCGAGUGUGGAUCAAGGACUGGAAAGUAGCCUCUUUGUGCCCACGGUGGAAAGGACCCCAGACUAUCGUCCUGAGCACUCCCACCGCUGUGAAGGUAGAAGGAAUCCCAGCCUGGAUCCAACACAGCCAUAUAAAACCUGCAGGGCCUGAAACCUGGGAGGCAAGACCAAGCCCAGACAACCCUUGCAGAGUGACCCUGAAGAAGACGACAAGCCCUGCUCCAGUCACACCCAGAAGCUGACUGGUCCACGCACGGCCGAAGCCUGAGGAAGCUCAUCAUGAGAUUCAUUUUUCUUAAAUUUUGGACUUAUACAGUAAGGGCUUCAACUGACCUUACUCAAACUGGGGACUGUUCCCAGUGUAUUCAUCAGGUCACCGAAGUAGGACAGCAAAUUAAAACAAUCUUUCUGUUCUAUAGUUAUGAAUGUAUGGGAACAUUAAAAGAAACUUGUUUGUAUAAUGCCACUCAGUACAAGGUAUGUAGCCGAAGAAAUGACCGACCUGAUGUGUGUUAUAACCCAUCUGAGCCCCCUGCAACCGCCGUUUUUGAAAAAAGAAUAAGAACUGGCCUUUUCCUAGGUGAUACAAGUAAAAUAAUAACUAGAACAGAAGAAAAAGAAAUCCCCAAGCAAAUAACUUUAAGAUUUGAUGCUUGUGCAGCCAUUAAUAGUAAACAGCUAGAAAUAGGAUGUGGUUCUCUUAAUUAAGAAAGGAGCUAAAGAGUAGAAAAUAAAUAUGUUUGUCAUGAGUCAGGGGUUUGUGAAAAUUGUGGCUAUUGGACAUGUGUUAUUUAGGCUACUUUAAAAAA